rnacentral:lncRNA from 1 species
UUAGUUCUGACCGGGCCCGGUACAUGGGUCAAAACAAAAUCAUCGAGGGGCCCAGAUAUCAGCUUCUAAUCCAAGAAGGAACAGAUAAACUUCGACUCAUAUGUUUGUUCUACCACUCAUUGAAUUACACACAAAAGUACGUUUUAUAACAUCGAGUUACCAAUGCGGUUUCGUACAGUCAAUGCAUAACCAACUUGUAAGUAACAAAUCAUAUCUCUAGGUUUGAAGACUUAUAUGAUAUUACCGUCUCACGAUCACUCGAGAUAGAAUUCCAUGAAGUGAUUCCAGUGAGCGUGGGUUGAGUCCAAUGCUCAGAACUUAUGAGCACUCAUGAUUGUUGUAGCCUUGUCCAAGACCUCUACAACCAAACAUGACAGUCUUGAUUCAUAUCUACUUCCAACAUAUGACCGACUGUGGAGGUUUGAAUAAUAUGUUAUACCAAACAAAAUUAUUCUGGAAGUCAAAACAUGCAAAAGAAAUAUAGUAAACGAUCGACAAGAGAUAGCAACACUUUACUCAUAAAUAAAACACCUUUUAUUCAUCAUCAAAUGUCAAUUACACUUUACAAAUUUCUGGGUUAUCUAACUACUAAAACUUAUAUCAUCCUUCAGCCCUAUGCUCCGAGCAUGCUGGAGAUGCUUAACCCUACUCAGUCCCUUCGUGAGGGGAUCUGCUGGGUUCUCAUCCGAUGAUACCCUCUUUGCCACGAGGAGUCCUUCUUCGAUCCGAUGUCUAAUGAAAUGGUAUUUUCUGUCGAUGUGUCUGGAUCUCCCAUGAUCCCUUGGUUCCUUGGCUAAGGCAACAGCACUUUCACUAUCACAGAAAAUUUCCAUUGGCUCUUUAAUAGCUGGUACAACUCCAAGGUCUCCAAUGAAGUUCUUCAGCCAUAUCGCCUCCUUUGCUGCUUCACUAGCUGCAAUAUACUCUGAUUCACAAGUAGAAUCUGCCACUGUCUCUUGCUUGGAACUCUUCCAAGAAAUUGCUCCUCCGUUUAGGGUAAAGACCCAGCCCGACUGAGAGCGGAAAUUAUCCCUAUCAGUCUGGAAGCUAGCAUCACUAUACCCUACAACUCUCAAGUCAUCACUCCCACCGAGGGUAAGGACCCAGUCCUUAGUCCUCCGUAGGUACUUGAGGAUAUUCUUUACCGCAGUCCAGUGUGCCUUGCCAGGGUUCGCCUGAUACCUGCUAACCAUGCUCAAGGCAAAAGCUACAUCGGGUCGAGUACACGUCAUAGCAUACAUGAUCGAUCCUACAGCCGAAGCGUAAGGUGUUCGACUCAUUUCUGCUAUCUCAGCCUCAGUGCUAGGGCUUUGUGUCUUACUCAAUCUGGUGUUACUCUGGAUGGGUAACUCUCCUUUCUUGGAAUCCUGCAUGCUGAAUCUCUUCAGCACCUUAUCCAAGUAGGUACUCUGACUAAGUCCAAUUAGUCUUUUACUCCGAUCUCUCAAGAUUCUUAUCCCUAGAAUAUAGGCAGCUUCACCAAGGUCCUUCAUAGCGAAACACUUCCCAAGCCAGGACUUUACUUCCUGCAGGGUUGGAAUGUCGUUUCCUAUGAGUAGUAUGUCAUCCACAUACAAUACCAAAAAGCUAACUAUACUCCCACUAGCCUUGACAUACACACAAGAUUCAUCUUCACUCCUAGAAAAGCCAAAUUCCUUGACCUUUUCAUCAAAGCAAAGAUUCCAUCUGCGAGGUGCUUGCUUCAAUCCAUAAAUGGAUUUCUCAAGCUUACACACUCUAUUAGGGUACUCGUUGCUGACAAAACCCUCUGGCUGACUCAUGUAAACAUCUUCAGCCAACUUUCCAUUAAGGAAAGCGGUUUUGACAUCCAUCUGCCAUAUUUCAUAGUCAUGAAAUGCAGCUAUGGCUAACAGAACCCGAAUAGACUUAAUCUUGGCUACCGGAGAAAAGGUCUCAUCAUAAUCCACUCCAGGAAUUUGAGAGAAGCCCUUUGCAACCAGUCUAGCCUUAUAAGUGUGUACUUUACCAUCCAUGUCGGUCUUCUUCUUGAAGACCCAUUUGCACCCUACUGUCUUACGACCUGGUACAUUUUCAACCAAGUUCCAAACUUGAUUGUCAUACAUGGAUUGUAUCUCGCUAUCCAUAGCCUCUUUCCAUUUAGCAGACUCGGGGCCUGCCAUGGCUUCCUCGUAGCUGUUAGGGUCAUCUUGACUUACUAGUGUCUCAUCACUAAUAAGUGUCUCACCUUCUGCAGUAAUAUGGAAUCCAUAGUAAUGCUCAGGUGCACUCCUAACUCUCGUGGAACGUCUCAGAGGUACAGAUUUGUCAAUUGGCUCAACAGGAGUUUCCUCCUCAAGUUGAGGGCUAGAGUUUGAAGUUCCUUCACCGCUUGAUUCUUGAAUUUCUUCAAGAUCAAUUUGCCUCCCACUGUCUCCUUGGCUUAUAAACUCUCUUUCUCGAAAGACUCCUCUUCUUGCUACAAAGACCACAUUGUCACUAGGUCUGUAGAAGAGGUAACCAAAGGAUCGCUGUGGGUAACCGAUGAAAAUACACCUCUCGCUUCGAGGUUCGAGCUUAUCAUGAGUCUCGCGUCUCACGAAAGCCUCGCAACCCCAAAUCUUGAUGUGGUCUAGUUUAGGUACUUUACCAGUCCACAUCUCGUGAGGAGUUUUGGCAACUUUCUUUGUAGGGACUAGAUUAAGAAUAUGGGCGGCAGUCUCUAAGGCAUACCCCCAGAAUGAGAUUGGUAGCGUAGCUCGACUCAUCAUGGAACGAACCAUAUCUAACAAGGUUCGAUUACGCCUCUCAGCCACACCAUUCAACUGUGGUGUCCUGGGAGGUGUCAAUUGUGAGACUAUCCCACAUUCCCUUAGAUAGUCGAGGAACUCUGAACUAAGAUACUCACCACCACGAUCGGAUCGAAGCAUCUUAAUGUUCCUGCCCAAUUGAUUCUCGACUUCCUGUUUAAAUUCCUUAAACCUCUCGAAAGUCUCUGACUUAUGCUUGAUCAAGUAGACAUAUCCAUAUCUACUAUAAUCAUCAGUAAAAGUCAAAUAAUAACGAUUAGCAUCCCUUGUGGCAUGUUUGAAUGGUCCACACACAUCCGUGUGUAUAAGGUCCAACAAACCUUCACCCCUCUCACACGAACCUGUGAAGGGUGACUUUGUCAUUUUUCCAAGUAAGCAUGAUUCGCAACUAUCAUCUGACUUUAGGUCAAACGACUCCAAGACUCCAUCCUUUUGGAGUUGGCCUAUGCGUUUCUUGCUUAUAUGUCCAAGACGACAAUGCCAUAAAGAUGCUUUAUCCAAGUUAUUAUUAGUAGAAUCAAUACACAAAACAUUAUUUCCCAAGUUAUCUACAACAGAUACAGCUUCAUACACACCAUCACAAGGUAAUGCUUUAAAAUAAAAGACAUUAUUAUAGAAAACAUCUAUAGAACCAACUUCAUUAUUAAAUGAAAAGGUAAACCCUUGUUUGUACAAAGCAUGAAAGGAAAUAAUAUUUCUUGCCAUUCCUGGCGAAUAACAACACUUAUUCAAAUCUAAACUAAACCCACUACUUAGCGAUAAAGUAUAAACUCCAAUCUUGGUAACAGGUAUAGCUUUCCUAUUCCCCAUGAUCAAGUUUAUCCUUCCUUGCUCCACAUCCUCACUUCUUCUUAGUCCCUGCAAGUCACAACAAAUGUGAAUACCACACCCGGUAUCAAGGACCCAAGAAUUAGAAUGGGGUGAGUUAUUAGAAAUGAUAGUGUAAAUACCUGCAUGGUUGGGUUUAACUUUCCCAUCCUUCACAUCUUGCUGGUAUUUUGGGCAGUUCCGCUUCCAAUGAGCUUUUUCAUGGCAAUAGAAGCAUUCAGCCUCUUUUGGGUCAGAAGAAGGAGUAACGAAACCUUUCUUGGUUCCACUUGAAGAAGAGCCAUCAAGGGUCCGAGCCUUGGUACCCUUAGAAGAGCUCUUUCUCUUCCUCCCUCGACUUUUCCCGAUUGCCAAAACCGGAGUAGAGUUUUGAGUAGGAGUGAUAGCAACCGACUUCCCCUUAAGACCUGUUUCUGCGGUCUUGAGAAGUCCCUGAAGUUUGCUGAGGGUGACUUCUUCCUUGUUCAUGUGAUAUGUCAUGCGGAAUUGAUCAUAGCACGAUGGUAAGGAAUGCAAAAUAAUAUCUAUUGCAAGAUCCUCCGGGAAGUUCACAUUAAGCUUCAGCAAACGAUCCACAUACCUUUGCAUUUUCUGCAUGUGGCUCGUGACGGAUUCCCCGUCCUUCAUCAUGGUUGUUAUCAUGGAGCAGAUGAUUUCAUACCUCUCUUGUCUUGCACUUUGAUGGUAUCUUUCCAUCAAAUCUUGGUGCAUGUCAUAAGGGUAGAAAUCCUCAUAAGACUUUUGGAGUUCCGCUGUCAUCGUGGCCAUCAUGAUGCAAGCCACUUUCGUAGCAUCCCUUUCAUGUGCCCGAAAUUCAGCGAUCUCCUGAGGAGUUGCAGUGGACUCAUCAAUCUCCUUAAGCUCCUUGUCAAGGACAUAUUCUUUGUCCUCGUAGCGGGUAAUCAUCCUGAUGUUUCUGAUCCACUCAUUGAAGUUGGAUCCAUCAAAGGUGACUUUCCCACACAAGUUCAUAAGGGUAAAGGAGCCAUUAGGAUUAGAGCCAGAAGCAUUGUUGAAAGACAUCUGAAGGAAAGAGGACAAGAUUAGUUUAGAUAUAAGAGAGUCCUUAAUAAAACACCCAAAUGUAAUAUUAAGGCUAGGAUCCAAUCACAAUAUAAUAUAACUUAGAAGAGGUAUGCCGUAAUCUAAGCUAUAUCAUAUUUGAAAGGUAGGUGAAUGACGAUUCACCAAUUUCCACCACGAAAACCGCAAUAUUUUAGUAUUAGGUUUUUGAAUGGUUCUUAGAAAUUCCUAGAUUCUUUGAGAUUCAAUGAACUUUUCAAAGGCAUGUUUCAAUCUCGAGUGUGCCCUCCAAGUUUUGUGACUGGGAUACCGAGGAUCACAAAACGAGGUGUGAAGUAACCAUGCAAAUCACUUGGUACCCUUAAAGUUUAUCACUCAAUCGAUGUGCCGGUUAACCACACACGCUCCAUCGAUACUAUAAUAAACCCUAAGUCACCCUUUACCUACCUUGUUAAGUCCAAGUUAGUGUGCCGGUUAACCACACACGCUCCACCAACGACUUAAUCAAAGUGUAAAGUGUAAUUUCAUGGAAUAGCACCUUAUUCACAUUUUUCCUAAAGUAACUAAGAUUGGGAAUUUAAUAAAACAUUUAGUUACUUUAUAAUAUUCAUCAUACUUUGAAUGAGAAUUAAUAAGUCCUUGUCUUACCCGUUCGGCUAACGACCCUCCACCGAUCAAGCAAGCGGUGGGUGAGAGUGGACACCCAUUAAGUCACCAUUUUAUAGGCAACAACCUUAUACCCACCUUAUAGACCGGCUUCGUGAAUGAGGCGUACUAGCGGUAAGACGACUUUGUUCUUAUACAUAUAUAUAUAAUUAUUAAAUCAUAAUAAUAUAAGUAUAAGGGUUGAAUUUUAACUUUUAAAAUUCUAGGGGUUGGAACUAAAGUUUUAACUUAACUUUACUUGUUCCAAAACUUGAGGGCAAGUUUUGUAAACUUUCAAAACUUUUCAUUUCUUGUAACUUAUGAGUUUAAUAGAGUAAUAAAAUGAGGACUUUUCAUUUUUCCUAACUCUUGUGUUCUUUUAAUGGUUUUUAAUCCAAGAGACUUUUGGUUUUCCAUAACUUGAGGACAAGUUAUGGACUCCAUUAAAACACAUUAUGAUCAUGAAUUAAUCUACCACAUAGGUUACAAAUAAUUCCUAUGAUCAUCUAAACAUCAUAAGAACAAGAAUAUGAAUAUGAACACUUUCAAGAAUCAAAAUCACAUUUAAUCUUUGUAAUUUUGAUAACUAGUUGUUGUAAAUGAGUUAGAAAAGACAUUACACCUUCUAAAAUAAGUUUUCAAGUACCAAAACAUUUUAGGGUAAUGAUUCUAAUCCAUUUCCAGCAACUCAAGUCGAAAUUCUGCACUCUGUCGACCCUACUCGCCGAGUGCAUAAACCUACUCGCCGAGUAGGUUGAAGAUACACAUGAACUCGACGAGUCCUCCCCAUGGACUCGCCGAGUCCAUCAGUCAGACAGCAGAAUUUUCGACUUUCUUCAACUUUUAAGCACAAAUAACAAACAAACAAGCCUAGGCUCUGAUACCACUGAUGGGUUUUGAGCAUUCUAACACUUCCUAAGUGUACAUGCAACCCUAAUAACCUUGGAUCUAUGUUUGUCUAAUUAUCAUGCAAAGUUGAAUUCCAAGGUUAUAUUCCUAUCUAGCAUACAUGGGGAACAAUUUUAACUUGAAUCAUAGAUAGAAUAACUUACCUUGUUGUUGCUUGUGUUCCUUGAAACCUUGUGAGCCUAGCACCCCAAGUGUGAUGCCUCAAAUGCUUCACACAACACCAAAUGCUCUUGGAAAGACUCUUGAGAUAACACACACUUCUCAAAAUCGGCCAAGCCCUCUAGUUUCUUAGUGUUCAACUUGUGUAGCCAAUUUUGUGGAGAAUGGGACUCUUAUAUAGUGUUGGCACAUCUAGGGUUACACCAUGUAAACCCUAAUGUGUCAUGACUCUUCAUUUCCAUGACCCAUGGGUUUGUAACUCCCAUGGAGCAUCCAUGGAGCAUCCUAUGGGUAGAACCCAACUUGAUAAUCCAUGGAGCCUCUUAGCCCACUAUACAAGAUAUGGAUGAUUUACAUAAUCAACCCAUAUAUUUAAUUAGUUAUCCUUUGAUCACUUAAUUAAUUCCAAAUUAAUUCUUUGAUCAACUAAUCAAAUAAUAUUAUUAAUAUAUUAGAACUUAUAAUAUAUUAAUAAUCUCCAAGUGUUAUUUCUCUCAUUUAGUCUAUCCAAUUGCAUGGUGCCAUGCAACCCAAAUGGACCAUGCCGGGUCGGGUCAAGUACAAGCCCGAAAUAGUUAUGGACUUAGACACCUUAUCCAACAGUCUCCCACUUGGAUAAGUCUAAUAACUAUAUCUCUAGUACUUCAGGAACCGACCGGCAAUCGUAGCUCUUUCAAGGUCUCUCGGAACUGAGAAGAUGAUGGUACGCCAUUUAAGAUAAGUGAUCAUAUAAUCCUCCGUUCUAGAUAUCAGCCGGACAAAUACAUGGAACAUUGUCUUGCUUAUUGUCCAGCAUUUGUUUCCCGAUUUCCGAUUUGUUUGACAUAGAACUUAAUUGAACACAUCAACUUAGUUCUGACCGGGCCCGGUACAUGGGUCAAAACAAAAUCAUCGAGGGGCCCAGAUAUCAGCUUCUAAUCCAAGAAGGAACAGAUAAACUUCGACUCAUAUGUUUGUUCUACCACUCAUUGAAUUACACACAAAAGUACGUUUUAUAACAUCGAGUUACCAAUGCGGUUUCGUACAGUCAAUGCAUAACCAACUUGUAAGUAACAAAUCAUAUCUCUAGGUUUGAAGACUUAUAUGAUAUUACCGUCUCACGAUCACUCGAGAUAGAAUUCCAUGAAGUGAUUCCAGUGAGCGUGGGUUGAGUCCAAUGCUCAGAACUUAUGAGCACUCAUGAUUGUUGUAGCCUUGUCCAAGACCUCUACAACCAAACAUGACAGUCUUGAUUCAUAUCUACUUCCAACAUAUGACCGACUGUGGAGGUUUGAAUAAUAUGUUAUACCAAACAAAAUUAUUCUGGAAGUCAAAACAUGCAAAAGAAAUAUAGUAAACGAUUGACAAGAGAUAGCAACACUUUACUCAUAAAUAAAAC